AAUGGCCGCCUAUACUCGCAUCCAGCGGGCUUUCCUUGGACCAGGAGGAAGCGACUGGGCUUGGAGUGGAUGUAGGCGAGAAAAUAUUGCUGAGGGCGUGGCAUUUUGGGCGCCCCCCGUGUCAAACAUCAGACCACGGUCAAGCGGCUGCUGGUCCGGCCGCCUGUAGGUUUCUCUGUGUGCCUAUGCCGUCGAUGAAUGUUGGCAGAGUCCUCAGCUAUUACUCUCUCCAUGGACCAAGGGAGGGCUAUCGAUUGGAGUGGAUGAUCGGCGUAGAGAUUUGUGGGAGGCGUAGCAUAUUACUUGUUGUCUGUUGUUUUGGCUUAUAAAUUGGAUUGUUUAUUAUUA